GAACGUUUGACAUCACUCUGGGACCAAGUUUUGAUGGAGACUCUUUGAGUUUCUAUCAAUACCUUUCACUGUACUUAGUUCCAAUUUAUAUUGCAAACAAGAUUAAUUUUAGGCGACUACUCACUAAGAUAUACCUUUUCUACCAUGGUUAUAUUAGUCCAUUUCACAGCCUUAAAU
rnacentral:snoRNA from 20 species